rnacentral:rRNA from 1 species
AGAGUGAACGCUGGCGGUAGGCCUAACACAUGCAAGUCGAACGGCAGCACAGUGGUAGCAAUACCAUGGGUGGCGAGUGGCGGACGGGUGAGGAAUACAUCGGAAUCUACCUUUUCGUGGGGGAUAACGUAGGGAAACUUACGCUAAUACCGCAUACGCCCUUUGGGGGAAAGCCGGAGAUCGCAAGACCUGGCGCGGAUAGAUGAGCCGAUGUCGGAUUAGCUAGUUGGUGAGGUAAUGGCUCACCAAGGCGACGAUCCGUAGCUGGUCUGAGAGGAUGAUCAGCCACACUGGAACUGAGACACGGUCCAGACUCCUACGGGAGCAGCGAGGUGGGGAAUAGUUGGACAAGUGGGGCGCAAGCCUGAUCCAGCCAUACCGCGUGGGUAGAAGAAGGCCUUGGUGUAAGCCGUUUGUAGG